rnacentral:rRNA from 1 species
CCUUGGAGCGAUGAAGGGACGCGGCGUGGUAGGUCAGCCUCUUAACGGAUUGAGGUGCCAAACGCGUAGGACGUUGAAGGGUGUAGGUAAGUCCGCACCCUGAGUCCGAAACGUGAUGGCGGUGCCUUAGAGCCACAAGUGAUUGAGCCAUGCCGCCUAGAAAAGCUUCUAAGCGUUGAUAUUUGAGUGACCGUACCGCAAACCGACACUGGUAGGUGGGUAGAAUACACCAAGGGGAGCGAGAGAACCCUCGUUAAGGAAUUAGGCAAAUUUCCCCCGUACGUUCGCAAUAAGGGGGGCCUCUGGUGGUGAGCUUAAUUGCAAAGCUGCUGGAGGCCGCAGAGAAAUGGCUCUUCCAACUGUUUAACAAAAACACAGGUCUCUGCUAAGUCGAAAGACGAAGUAUAGGGGCUGACGCCUGCCCAGUGCUGGAAGGUUAAGGGGAGAGGUUAGGCGCAAGCCGAAGCUUUGAGCCGAAGCCCCAGUGAACGGCGGCCGUAACUAUAACGGUCCUAAGGUAGCGAAAUUCCUUGUCGGGUAAGGUCCGACCCGCACGAAUGGCGUAAUGAGAGGAGCACUGUCUCAACGAGGGACUCGGCGAACAUUGAAGGACGUGUGAAGAUACACGUGACCCGCAGCGGGACAAAAAGACCCCGUGAAGCUUUACUACAACUUGCCAUUGAGUUAGGGCUAAACCUGUGUAGUAUAGGUGGGAGGCUUUGAAGCUGGGACGCCAGUCUCGGUGGAGCCACCGUUGAAAUACCACCCUGGUUUAUUCUUGGCUCUAACCUGUCGCCGUUAUCCGGCAUGGGAACAGUGGCUGGUGGGUAGUUUGACUGACUGCGGUCGCCUCCGAAAGCGUAACAGAGGCGCCCAAAGGUUCCCUCAGGCUGAAUGGAAACCAGCCGUUGAGUGUAAAGGCACAAGGGAGCUUGACUGCAAGACCAACAAGUCGCGCAGGGACGAAAGUCGGGCUUAGUGAUCCCACGGUUCAGAGUGGAAUGGCCGUGGCUUACCGGAUAAAAGCUACUCCGGGGAUAACAGGGUAGUCUGGUCCAAGAGUUCAUAUCGACGACCAGGUUCGCCACCUCGAUGUCGGCUCAUCACAUCCUGGGGCUGGAUAAGGUCCCAAGGGUUGGGCUGUUCGCCCAUUAAAGUGGUACGUGAGCUGGGUUCAGACCGUCGUGAGACAGGUCGGUCUCUAUCCGCUGUGGGCGUAAGGGAUUUGAGAGAAGCUGCCCCUAGUACGAGAGGACCGGGGUGGACGGACCUCUAGUGUGCCAGUUGUUCUGCCAAGAGCAUUGCUGGGUAGCUACGUCCGGCAGAGAUAACCGCUGAAAGCAUCUAAGUGGGGAACUCGUCUCAAGAUUAGAUCCCUCAGC